UAAAUCUAACCAGUUUUCUCAAUUCAAAAGAGGGUAAAUGGGCUACGAAGCUCAACUAUAAACCAUGACUCUGUUCUUCGUCUGCACCACUUUCUCACAGUCUCGAGUUGAUUGCUUCUCCAAUCUUCCUCGCGUCACUUUGAUGUUGUAUGUUGUUUCAUAAGAGAGAGCAAGACAUGUGGAGAAAUCUGCAAAGCAAAGAUCAAUGCAUUUGAUGCCACGGUGAUCUGGGACGAGCAAGGCUCGAGCUAAGCAUUUAAAGAGACUGUUUUGUUUCUAUGACCAUAUUAGUAAAGAACCUACAGCAUUGAAUUAAAGGCAGUUGAGAGCUGCUGUCCUCAGAUGUGAGUAAAAGAUGCAGUCCUCAGAUAUGAAUAUGAACAUGUUUGUGUAUGUUGUUUCGUAAGAGUUUGCCGGUUACGAGCAGUAAUAAACCGGAGUCCUCAAAUGUGGGUAAAAGUUUUGAGAGUAUUACUUAAGCUGUGGUUUUUCGUUGAUCAUUGUCUCUAACUAUCCUAUUGCAUUUGGUAUUAAAAUGUGCAGGCGUAAGUCUGAAUAAUGAAGAGAAUAAAGCAUGUUUUAUUGGCUUA